GGACGGCGUCCACCUUCAUCUUGGACCCUUGCUCUUGCACCAGCAUCACUUCAGUGGUCUUGGUGGGCAUGGCGUAGCUGUGGAGAGAGAAACAACUCGGCAUCAGCAGUCCGGACGCGACAACAAGGCCAGCGGAAGCUUUUCCUUUCGGGAGAACAAAGCCAGGCUGCUGCUCUGAUCUCAGCAUCGCUCCUGGGAUUGUGAAGCGCUCAAGUGAGGAAACAGAGUCAGGCUGGAGCAGAGACCUUAUCUCUGAACUCAGGAAGGAGGCAGAAACCAGAAUCCAAAAGGGCCCUGAAAGGAUAUAUACACAUAUAGGAUCCUCUGGUGGCUCAGUGUGUUAAAGCGCUGAGCUGCUGAACUUGCAGACCUAAAUGUCCCAGGUUCAAACCCGGGGAACGGAGUGCGCGCCCGCUGUUAGCUCCAGCUUCUGCCAACCUAGCAGUUCGAAAAUAUGCAAAUGUGAGUAGAUCAAUAGGUACCGCUCAGGCGGGAAGGUAACAGCAUUCCAUGCAGUCAUGCCGGCCACAUGACCUUGGAGGUGUCUAUGGACAACGCCGGCUCUUCGACUUAGAAAUGGAGAUGAGCACCAACCCCCAGAGUCAGACACGACGAGACUUAACGUCAGGGGAAACCUUUACCUUUACCUAUACAUCUACAUACAGAACAUUUACGAUUGCCACCUCCACAAGGAUUAUUUAAUUUUACACAUUAAUCCUUUUUGAGACAAUUCUUAUAGAUUUAGAUACUAUAUAACAUUUCCUAUACUAUAUAACAUAUCCUAUUUCUUAUGGCCUGAUUUCUACUUACUCAUAAUAUCAUUCUUGACCUGGUUCCAUCUUUCUUCAACUUCUCGCAUUCUGUUUUCAUUAUCUUUUGAAUCAUUUAAUUUUACAUUCGUAAUUUCGAAUUCCAUUUGAUGCACCAUAUACUGAUACCAUUUAUUUACUGUCCACUUUGAUUUGUCUUUCCAUCCCAAUACUAUCACUGCUUAUGCGCAGUAAAUUAUUGCUUCCUUUAUUUCCCUGUAAUUUUCCAUUCCCUCUCUCUGUACUCAGACCACAAUUUCUUUUGUUAUCACUCAAUCGAUUCCUAAUAUUUGGUUUGACACAUUUUGGAUAGUCUGCCAGAAGUAUUGUACCUGUUCACAUUCCCACAUCAUGUGCAUAAGCCACCUUUUCUGUUGACAUCCAUGCCAGCAUUGACUGCUCCCCUUUUUAUAAUGGUAUGCUAAUUGACCAGUUGUACGAUACCACUUAUGGAAUAUUUUCCUCCUCAUUUCUCUUACUUUUGUAUUCCUUGCUGUCCCUAUUGCCUCUACCACUUGUCUCAUAUCUUGUUCUGUAAUUUCUGAAUAUUAUUUGUGAAUAUUUUAAAGAAUAUUUCUGGGAAUAUUUUUAAAGAAUAAUUUUGUGACUAUUAUUUGUGAAUUGUGAAAGACUAUACAAAUACAGUAUGUUUUGUGAAUACAGUAGUCUCACUUAUCCAACAUAAACGGGCUGGCAGAACAUUGGAUAAGCGAAUACGUUGGAUAAUAAGGAGAUAUUAAGGCGAAGCCUAUUAAACAUCAAAAUAGGUUAUUAUUUUACAAAUUAAGCACCAAAAUAUCAUGUUAUAUAACAAAUUUGACAGAAAAAGUAGUUCAUUACACAUUAAUGCUAUGUAGUAAUUACUGUAUUUAUGAAUUUAGCACCAAAAUAUCACAAUGCAUUGAAAACAUUGACUACAAAAAUGCGUUGGAUAAUCCAAAACGUUGGAUAAGCGACACUCUACUGUAUUCUUUGGUGAAUAUUUUUAUAAAUAUCUUUUGUGAACAUUUGUGUUAAUACUUUUACAGAUAUUUUCUGUGAAUAUUUAUAUGAAUAUUUUGGCUAAUAUUUUUGUGAAUAUUAAUUAAUCUAUAUAUAUAAAUGAGUGAUGGCAUCACGGCGACCAACAAAACAACAAAACUACAGGCCCCCCAACCUUGAAAUUUGACAACACAAUCCAUCAUCCAUGCCUCUAGGUUGAUACAACAAAAAGAAAAGAAAAAUAAAGUCCUAAUUAGAGGGAAAGGAAUAAUUGUUUUUAUCCAAUUGCAGCCAGUUAGAGGACUAAUCUCUGCCCACUUGGUCUCCUAGCAACUAACUCAGCCCAGGGGACAGGCAGACUUAGGCCUCACUUAGGCUUCUUCCACAGAUUAUCUAAUUUGCACUGGAUUAUAUGGCAGUGUAGACUCAAGGCUCUUCCACACAACUAUAUAACCCAUUUAUAAUGUCAGGGGAAAACCUUUACCCUUUACCUUAACUACCACCAAUUCCUCAAUAGUUUAUUUUCCAUACCACCAUACUUUGCCACAGCAACGCAUGGCCGGGCACAGCUACCGUGUUUCCCCGAAAAUAAGACAGUGUCUUAUAUUAAUUUUUGCUCCCAAAGAUGCUCUAGGUCUUAUUUUCAGGGGAUGUCUUAUUUUUUCAUGAAGAAGAAUUCACAUUUAUUGUUGAACAAAAAAAUGAACAUUUAUUAUAUACUGUACAGUAGUGGUCAUCAUAAACCAGCAUAACCAGACAAACUGUGAAUCUUAUCAAAAAUUUCUUGUUACUACCAAUAUUUCCAUGUACAACAUUUUAUGGUAUGUACAUUUACCGAUCAUGCAUGCUUCCAAACAAAAGCUUUGCUAGGUCUUACUUUCGGGGGAGGCCUUAUAUUUAACAAUUCAGCAAAACCUCUACUAGGUCUUAUUUUCUGGGGAUGUCUUAUUUUAGGGGAAACAGGGUAGUAUGAAUAUAUUUGUGGAUAUUUUAAAGAAUAUUUUCUGUGAACAUUUUGAUGAAUAUUUUUGUGACUGAUUUUACUGUUAGAGGUCUCCAAAAAGCAGCUGGGUGGUCACUUUUGAGGGUGCUUAAGUUAUGCAUUUCGGUGUGGUAGAAGUAAAACAUCAGGAUUGAAAGAGACCCCAGGGCCACCCAAUCUAAAUCUCUUCUGCCAGGCAGGAAUUCAAGAUCAAGCUCUCCCUCCAGAUCGCCAUCCGAACUCUGGCUUAAAGCCUCCAAUAAACUAACACUCAACCUCCCCCUUACACGUGGAUCCCAGCCUGAAAGUAUGAACCCACGCCUGUGCAUGAGCAUCCUACC